rnacentral:rRNA from 1 species
UCUUCCGCAAUGGACGAAAGUCUGACGGAGCAACGCCGCGUGAGUGAUGAAGGUUUUCGGAUCGUAAAACUCUGUUGUUAGGGAAGAACAAGUACCGUUCGAAUAGGGCGGUACCUUGACGGUACCUAACCAGAAAGCCACGGCUAACUGCGUCCCAGCAGCCGCGGUAAUCCGUAGGUGGCAAGCGUUUCCCGGAAUUAUUGGGCGUAAAGCGCGCGCAGGCGGUUUCUUAAGUCUGAUGUGAAAGCCCCCGGCUAAACCGGGGAGGGUCAUUGGAAACUGGGGAACUUGAGUGCAGAAGAGGAGAGUGGAAUUCCACGUGUAGCGGUGAAAUGCGUAGAGAUGUGGAGGAACACGAGUGGCGAAGGCGACUCUCUGGUCUGUAACUGACGCUGGGGCGCGAAGGCGUGGGGAGCGAACAG